rnacentral:rRNA from 1 species
GGGUUGUGAGGUUAAGCGACUAAGCGUACACGGUGGAUGCCCUGGCAGUCAGAGGCGAUGAAGGACGUGCUAAUCUGCGAAAAGCGUCGGUAAGGUGAUAUGAACCGUUAUAGCCGGCGAUGUCCGAAUGGGGAAACCCAGUGUGAUUCGUCACACUAUCGUUAACUGAAUACAUAGGUUAACGAGGCGAACCGGGGGAACUGAAACAUCUAAGUACCCCGAGGAAAAGAAAUCAACCGAGAUUCCCCCAGUAGCGGCGAGCGAACGGGGAGCAGCCCAGAGUCUGAAUCAGCUUGUGUGUUAGUGGAACGGUCUGGAAAGUCCGACGGUACAGGGUGAUAGUCCCGUACACCAAAAUGCACAGGCUGUGAACUCGAAGAGUAGGGCGGGACACGUGGUAUCCUGUCUGAAUAUGGGGGGACCAUCCUCCAAGGCUAAAUACUCCUGACUGACCGAUAGUGAACCAGUACCGUGAGGGAAAGGCGAAAAGAACCCCGGCGAGGGGAGUGAAAAAGAACCUGAAACCGUGUACGUACAAGCAGUGGGAGCACCUUCGGGUGUGACUGCGUACCUUUUGUAUAAUGGGUCAGCGACUUAUAUUCUGUAGCAAGGUUAACCGUAUAGGGGAGCCGCAGGGAAACCGAGUCUUAACUGGGCGUUAAGUUGCAGGGUAUAGACCCGAAACCCGGUGAUCUAGCCAUGGGCAGGUUGAAGGUUGGGUAACACUAACUGGAGGACCGAACCGACUAAUGUUGAAAAAUUAGCGGAUGACUUGUGGCUGGGGGUGAAAGGCCAAUCAAACCGGGAGAUAGCUGGUUCUCCCCGAAAGCUAUUUAGGUAGCGCCUCGUGAAUUCAUCUUCGGGGGUAGAGCACUGUUUCGGCUAGGGGGUCAUCCCGACUUACCAACCCGAUGCAAACUACGAAUACCGAAGAAUGUUAUCACGGGAGACACACGGCGGGUGCUAACGUCCGUCGUGAAGAGGGAAACAACCCAGACCGCCAGCUAAGGUCCCAAAGUCACAGUUAAGUGGGAAACGAUGUGGGAAGGCACAGACAGCCAGGAUGUUGGCUUAGAAGCAGCCAUCAUUUAAAGAAAGCGUAAUAGCUCACUGGUCGAGUCGGCCUGCGCGGAAGAUGUAACGGGGCUAAACUGUGCACCGAAGCUGCGGCAGCGACACUAUGUGUUGUUGGGUAGGGGAGCGUUCUGUAAGCCUGCGAAGGUGGCCUGUGAGGGUUGCUGGAGGUAUCAGAAGUGCGAAUGCUGACAUAAGUAACGAUAAUGCGGGUGAAAAGCCCGCACGCCGGAAGACCAAGGGUUCCUGUCCAACGUUAAUCGGGGCAGGGUGAGUCGACCCCUAAGGCGAGGCCGAAAGGCGUAGUCGAUGGGAAACAGGUUAAUAUUCCUGUACUUGGUGUUACUGCGAAGGGGGGACGGAGAAGGCUAUGUUAGCCGGGCGACGGUUGUCCCGGUUUAAGCAUGUAGGCGGAGGUUCCAGGUAAAUCCGGUACCUUUUUAACGCUGAGGUGUGAUGACGAGGCACUACGGUGCUGAAGUAACAAAUGCCCUGCUUCCAGGAAAAGCCUCUAAGCAUCAGGUAACAUUAAAUCGUACCCCAAACCGACACAGGUGGUCAGGUAGAGAAUACCAAGGCGCUUGAGAGAACUCGGGUGAAGGAACUAGGCAAAAUGGUGCCGUAACUUCGGGAGAAGGCACGCUGAUAUGUAGGUGAAGCCCCUGCGGGUGGAGCUGAAAUCAGUCGAAGAUACCAGCUGGCUGCAACUGUUUAUUAAAAACACAGCACUGUGCAAACACGAAAGUGGACGUAUACGGUGUGACGCCUGCCCGGUGCCGGAAGGUUAAUUGAUGGGGUUAUCCGUAAGGAGAAGCUCUUGAUCGAAGCCCCGGUAAACGGCGGCCGUAACUAUAACGGUCCUAAGGUAGCGAAAUUCCUUGUCGGGUAAGUUCCGACCUGCACGAAUGGCGUAAUGAUGGCCAGGCUGUCUCCACCCGAGACUCAGUGAAAUUGAACUCGCUGUGAAGAUGCAGUGUACCCGCGGCAAGACGGAAAGACCCCGUGAACCUUUACUAUAGCUUGACACUGAACAUUGAGCCUUGAUGUGUAGGAUAGGUGGGAGGCUUUGAAGCGUGGACGCCAGUCUGCGUGGAGCCAACCUUGAAAUACCACCCUUUAAUGUUUGAUGUUCUAACGUUGGCCCCUUAUCGGGGUUGCGGACAGUGUCUGGUGGGUAGUUUGACUGGGGCGGUCUCCUCCCAAAGAGUAACGGAGGAGCACGAAGGUUAGCUAAUCCUGGUCGGACAUCAGGAGGUUAGUGCAAUGGCAUAAGCUAGCUUGACUGCGAGCGUGACGGCGCGAGCAGGUGCGAAAGCAGGUCAUAGUGAUCCGGUGGUUCUGAAUGGAAGGGCCAUCGCUCAACGGAUAAAAGGUACUCCGGGGAUAACAGGCUGAUACCGCCCAAGAGUUCAUAUCGACGGCGGUGUUUGGCACCUCGAUGUCGGCUCAUCACAUCCUGGGGCUGAAGUAGGUCCCAAGGGUAUGGCUGUUCGCCAUUUAAAGUGGUACGCGAGCUGGGUUUAGAACGUCGUGAGACAGUUCGGUCCCUAUCUGCCGUGGGCGCUGGAGAAUUGAGGGGGGCUGCUCCUAGUACGAGAGGACCGGAGUGGACGCAUCACUGGUGUUCGGGUUGUCAUGCCAAUGGCAUUGCCCGGUAGCUAAAUGCGGAAGAGAUAAGUGCUGAAAGCAUCUAAGCACGAAACUUGCCCCGAGAUGAGUUCUCCCUGAGACUUUAAGUCUCCUGAAGGAACGUUAAAGACGAUGACGUUGAUAGGUCGGGUGUGUAAGCGUAGCGAUACGUUGAGCUAACCGAUACUAAUGAACCGUGAGGCUUAACCUUACAACGCCGAAG